rnacentral:rRNA from 1 species
GAUCCUGGCUCAGGAUGAACGCUAGCUACAGGCUUAACACAUGCAAGUCGAGGGGAAACGAUAUUGGAAGCUUGCUUCCGAUAGGCGUCGACCGGCGCACGGGUGAGUAACGCGUAUCCAACCUGCCCAUCACUUGGGAAUAACCUUGCGAAAGUAAGACUAAUGCCCAAUGACAUUUAUAGAAGGCAUCUGAAAUGAAUUAAAGAUUUAUCGGUGAUGGAUGGGGAUGCGUCUGAUUAGCUUGUUGGCGGGGUAACGGCCCACCAAGGCGACGAUCAGUAGGGGUUCUGAGAGGAAGGUCCCCCACAUUGGAACUGAGACACGGUCCAAACUCCUACGGGAGGCAGCAGUGAGGAAUAUUGGUCAAUGGGCGAGAGCCUGAACCAGCCAAGUAGCGUGCAGGACGACGGCCCUAUGGGUUGUAAACUGCUUUUAUAAGGGAAUAAAGUGAGUCUCGUGAGACUUUUUGCAUGUACCUUAUGAAUAAGGACCGGCUAAUUCCGUG